ensembl:lincRNA
CCCGCCCUCAGGCACCGCCCCCGCCCCGCCCCUCCCAAUCCCUCAGCUUGCGCUCCAGAGCUGGGCACCAAGGGAGGGGGAGCAGCUGGGGAAGGGGGGCCUCCCGGAGCGCAGGGUACGGGGUCCCGGGGCGGGCUGCCGGCGCUUGAACCGGUGCGUCCUCCAGCUCCGACGGCUACGCGGCGCGGGGAACCGCAAAGAUGGGGAACCCGGGGACGCAGGCUCUUACAAGUGCGGGAGCGAUCACGGAGCCAGCGAACCACCAGUUAGGUCCAUUCAGCAUCUCAGAGGCCGAAGGCAUUCGUCUCUUCGUGCGCCCUGGAAAAGGAACACGCAGCUGUACCCAGGAAGCCCGGGAAUGGAGGCUAUGUCCCAGUUAUCAAGCCAGGAAAGAUAGAAGGGAACCCACAGAAACUUGCCUCAGCCAGACUCUAAUAUCACAACACCCACAAACUAAACACAUAAUAAAUAAGAUAAACAGAAGGGAGAGGGGAAUUUUGAAAGUUAGUUGGUCGGUUGAGUUCCAGCCCAUUAGCUGUAAGAGGAACUUCUGCUGUCAGCCCCAGUGUGUGUGUGUGUGUGUGUGUGUGUGUGUGUGUGUGUGUGUGCCCCCUCUCCUGUGCGCCUGCGUGCACUUGCCUGCUUGCACAUGGUGCCUGCUUUUUAAGGCUGGAGGUGCUGGGGUCCAGUGAGAACAGUUAGCACUUACACAUGGGCGCUGCUCUGUGCCAAGUGCUUGACCUGCAUUUUUCUACUUAAUUUAAAAGUUAUCUGGUGCUAUCAAGUCGUGCCCACUCUCAGCUCCCAAGUGGAACAUAUGAGGACGCUGAGCCCUAAGAAAUAAACACGUGCUGGGCAGCAACCCCACUCCCGCCUCAAUUUCUGCUUCACCACUUGGCCUGAAUCACUUUUUUCUUUUUUUAAGCCUCACCACACAGCAUGCAGGAUUUUAGUUCCCCAAUCAGGGAUUGAACCUGGGCCCUACGCAGUGAGAGCACAGAUUCCUAACCACUGGACUGCCAGGAAAUUCCCUGAAUCACCAUUUUUAAUAGAAUAAAUAAUAAAACUGAAAUACAGAAAGACUGUAAGUGUGGCCAGGGGUCCCAAAGAUGACUACAGAUGGUGGAGCAGUGGGUGAAAACUCCCAGGCAUUUGCUCUAUAGGUGAGAGGCUCCCCCUCAAGAGGAAGGAUCUGUUCCCCACAAGUGGAUAAGCAAUGCUGCUCCGACUAUCCCAGCCCAGGCCCUGAGAGGCCACAGAAGCAGGCCCUAGAGACCCCUGCAGAGAAUGUUACCAAACUCAAGUCCACAUAAGGCCAACCAACACCAAAACACCUGAGUCUGGAGCAGAGAAAGGUUUAUUGCAGGGCCCUGCAAGGAGGGAGGAGGCUCAUGCCUUAAAAACCCUAAACUCCCCAAAACUUUUCAGCAAAGCCCUUUUCUGGGAAAGGUAGAGGUGGGGUAGCUGUUGCAGACUUCAUGUUGUCAGAGCCUUUAUUCUUGAGGUCAGCUCAUGGUCAAGUCAUGAUGUUCCUAUAAACCUCCACCAAAACAAACAUUAGUAUCUGUUCUGACCAGAAAGGGAAGGGGAGUCAUUUAAUUCUGUCUCCGUGCCUCCUUGCAGCUGUUAACACGCAACAAACCUCGUAAGGAAAACAACAUGAUUACCCCUCGUUUAACAAACCUCGUAAGCAAAACAACAUGAUUACCCCUCGUUUUACGGGUUCAAGGUCCCAAGGCUCAGCUUUUGCCCUGCGAGGCCCAGGUCUUUGGUAAGAGGAGGGGUCCCUGUGCAGGCCAGUUACCCUGCUUUGGAGCAAUUGUCCAGCAUCCAGUUUGGGUCCUCCCACCAGUGCACAGUGUGCUGAAGAGACAGAUCUCAGCAGGCAGCCCCUCACAGCCCGGUCCCUAGAUCCCACCCAGCCCCAGAUGGCACUCAAAGUGCCACAGGCCACACAAAGUCUCCUCAGGCCACACAAAGUGGGGCGGGGUUCCACAAACGGCAACCCAUGGAGACAGCUGCUGCCAUCAGGUCUUGGAGGUGGGAUAGGGGAGAGGUUUGCUGCCGCUUAGAGCCUGGGCUUGGUGGCGGGCAGCUGUGGUGAGGACUCUGCCAGACACAGUCCUCAGUCCGUCCCUAUGGCCCCAGGAUUACCCACCACCCCAAGGCUGGAAGGCCUGGAGGGCCCGGGGAAGAAGGCCACAAUCCACCUCUCACUGCGCUCUGUACCGCCGGGGACAGCUGCAAGCUGACUGUUGGUGGAGCAGCGGGGCCUCUAACUGCCGCCACUGUGGAGCGAUAAGAACUGCUGGGUAGCCCUGCCCCGCCCCCUGCCCGCCUCUACUGCAAGAACAAUAGGGAAAGUACACGGAAUUGACUCUCAAGACGUAUGAAACUGGCUUUCCUUCAGGCUGGAUAAAGAGAAGUGACUGUGUGUACAGAAAACAUUACAGAGCCAACCAGGUGGUACAGAACUGCAUGUCCUGUGGCCCAACGUUACCUGAGGUGAGGUCACAGAGGCCAAGGCCAAGACUGCCUCCUGGAAGCGGCUCUCCUCCGGGAACUACGCAGGUGGAGCCACACCCAGUGACGUCCGCAGAACAGCUUUUCAUGGGGCCUGGAUUGUUCUGAGAACAGCCAGGCCCUUCAGGCAGCCCGAAUCAUAGAAGCCCUGGCCCUUAAAAUAGAAGCAGAGCCCUCCACUGCAGAAAGCAGUGCAUUGGCAGGUGCAGACGCGGGAGGCGUGAGAGGGAAACUGGGCUCACUUUACGUCUCAGCCCCGAUGUUCAAGUCGGAGAUGGCAACCCUCACAAUCCUAAGAGGAGGAUGCUCUGAUCCUCACUUAGCAAACACAGAGAGGGGAGAAGCCAUCCAAGGUCUCAUGGCUGGCAAAUGGGAAGCCUCAGCCGCCAGCGCUCACAACUUGAGCAGCUGAAAGGUGUUUGCCUUCUUAAGCCUCACCUCCCGCGUUGGUCGAAGCUGUGCCACUGGACCCUUCUAAGGAGCAGCUUUGUAGAUAAGGGUCCAGGAGACCCUCAGCACUGAGUCACCGGACCCCCUUGCUCCUCAGCCCUUGUUAUCACUCCCCCAGCUCCCUUCAAUGACA